UUACAAUAUGUGUGUCAUUAAAAAGUUCAAAGUGCAGAAACUUAACAGUUGAAUAUUGCAGGAGUGUCUCUCAUUUUAAUCCCACCUAAAACAUCCAGUAACUAUAUAUGCAACCACGGCUCAACUCUGGCGUCUGCACAGCUUAAGUGCUGGAUCAUCUAUUUCCAACAUUGUUUGCUAGUUUUCUGGCAGCUCAGGACCGACCUUAGGAUAUGGGUUCACAUUCGACCUUCCAUGUCAGAGACCAUCCCAUGAGAAAGUGAGCCCUUCACAAUCUCCCUGGCAGGCCAAAUGGCCUUGUACCGAGAGCUGGUUGUCACCCCCCUUUCCUCCCUAUUCCUUUCCUGGCACCUGAGGCUGUAAAAGCUGAAUUAUAGUCCCCUCUUCCCUAUCUCUUCCUGAGUUCCCAUGCCAUCCAAGGACAUAAGUCAUGCCUGAGCCCAGCCUGACCCCCAAGGCUGUCAAGGAGGAUCAAUGUUCCAGAGAUAAGAUCCAGAGUGCCCG
rnacentral:lncRNA from 1 species